UAUAGUGCUUAUGAGAUAUAUCAUAGAUGCUAAGCAUUUAUAUUCACUUACUUAAUUACAGGAAGGAAAAGGAAUUAUAUCUGAUGAAAAUAAUCCCUAAAAAUUUCACUUCUGCAAACCAUGAGCCAGAAGAAAAGAUAAGAAUGACUACAGAAGUUGCAGGCACAAAGCAUGAAAGAAUGAAUUGUAUUGUGAAGAUACAGAGGAUGAAGCUGAAUGACCUCAAACUGGCAAUCGAGUGACAUUCUUUUGUGUUCACACGGCUCAUGUGUGAAGGGCUGAGGUAGACUAGCUCUUGUAGCAACAAGCAUUUGGUUUUAUGAGAGAAAAGAGAUUCUCCUCCAGAGGCUGGCUUUUGUGUCUGAAUUAUCAGAAAGUAAAGAAAUUAGAUGUGUCUCUGUCCACACAGUAAUAAUGCAGUCACGUAUCCAAUGACCAUCUCCAGAGAGUCAAAUCAGCACAUGGUGGAGGGGAGACUUUGUACUGACCCCAUCACAAAAGAAAUGAAAUGUCUUUUUGCUAGUAGCUUGGAGAUGGUCUCACUUCAGUCCCAUCCACAGACUGGGCAACUUCACCUGCAAAUUGUUUUAGAGUGAAUCCCAUCAUUUAUACAUGUUGUUUCCGAUGUGUAAGCACUCUCUUUUUGAGGAAACAGAAUAUUCUGAAUUGGGAGGGAACUUUAAAGGUCAUCUAAUCCAACUCCCCUGCAGUGAACAGGGACAUUUACAGCUGGAUCAAGUUGCUUAGAGCCCCAUUCAGAUUUGCCUUGAAUGUUUCUAGGCAACCAGAUGCAAUGCCUCACCACCUUCUCUGUAAAAGACUUCUUCCUUAUAUCCAGUCUAAACCUUCCAACUUUUAGUUUGAAACCAUUUCCCCUUUUUCUGUCACAACGGACCUUGCUAAAGUAUCUGUCUUCUUUCUUUCUUAUAGCCCCCAUUUAGAUACUGAAAGGCUGAUCUCAUGUCUUAGGUCUCAAAUGUUGAGAUUGGAUGAUCUUUAAAGGGCCUUCCAACCCAAGCCAUUCUAUGAUUCUAUGAAAGUAUAAGGACUAUGUCCAAAUAGAGUGGGGUCGGGAAAUAGGAAACAGUCAGUUUCCAUUUUAGCACCUUCUACCAGUUAUGUGUAAAUAUAUACUGUUCUCUCAGAUUUAUUUAUUUUUGAGUCUCAGGAAUCUUAUAGGCUGACAGAAACUGUACAUGUCUGUGCCUGCCUUUCACUUCGUAUAUUUGAUAGAGUAAGCAA
rnacentral:lncRNA from 1 species